GUGGGGAAUAUUGCACAAUGGGCGCAAGCCUGAUGCAGCGACGCCGCGUGAGGGACGACGGCCUUCGGGUUGUAAACCUCUUUCAGCACAGACGAAGCGCAAGUGACGGUAUGUGCAGAAGAAGCACCGGCCAACUACGUGCCAGCAGCCGCGGUAAUACGUAGGGUGCGAGCGUUGUCCGGAAUUACUGGGCGUAAAGAGCUCGUAGGUGGUUUGUCGCGUUGUUCGUGAAAACUCACAGCUCAACUGUGGGCGUGCGGGCGAUACGGGCAGACUGGAGUACUGCAGGGGAGACUGGAAUUCCUGGUGUAGCGGUGGAAUGCGCAGAUAUCAGGAGGAACACCGGUGGCGAAGGCGGGUCUCUGGGCAGUAACUGACGCUGAGGAGCGAAAGCGUGGGGAGCGAACAGG
rnacentral:rRNA from 1 species